GCGGGCCUAAUACAUGCAAGUCGAGCGGUAACAGGGGAGCUUGCUCCCGCUGACGAGCGGCGGACGGGUGAGUAAAGUCUAGGAAUCUGCCCAGUAGUGGGGGACAACGCGGGGAAACUCGCGCUAAUACCGCAUACGCCCUACGGGGGAAAGGUGCUUUAUUGUACCGCUAUUGGAUGAGCCUAGAUCAGAUUAGCUAGUUGGUGGGGUAAAGGCCCACCAAGGCGACGAUCUGUAGCUGGUCUGAGAGGAUGAUCAGCCACACUGGGACUGAGACACGGCCCAGACUCCUACGGGAGGCAGCAGUGGGGAAUAUUGGACAAUGGGGGAAACCCUGAUCCAGCCAUGCCGCGUGUGUGAAGAAGGUCUUCGGAUUGUAAAGCACUUUAAGUUGGGAGGAAGGGGUGAAGUAAUGACUCACCUUUGACGUUACCAACAGAAUAAGCACCGGCUAACUUCGUGCCAGCAGCCGCGGUAAUACGAAGGGUGCAAGCGUUAAUCGGAAUUACUGGGCGUAAAGCGCGCGUAGGUGGUUUAUCAAGUUGGAUGUGAAAUCCCUGGGCUCAACCUAGGAACUGCAUCCAAAACUGAUUGACUAGAGUAUAUUAGAGGUUAGUAGAAUUUCCUGUGUAGCGUUUAAAUGCGAAAAUAUAGGAAGGAACACCACUCGCGAAGGCCACUAACUGGAUCAAUACUGACCCCGCUGAUGCUAAACUGUGUGGAAAGGAACAGAAUUAGAUACCC
rnacentral:rRNA from 1 species